UACGUAGGGGGCAAGCGUUGUCCGGAAUCAUUGGGCGUAAAGCGCGCGUAGGUGGCUUCAUAAGUCCGUUGUGAAAGUCAAAGGCUCAACCUUUGAAAGCCGAUGGAUACUGUGGAGCUAGAGUACGGAAGAGGCGAGUGGAAUUCCUGGUGUAGCGGUGGAAUGCGCAGAUAUCAGGAGGAACACCGGUGGCGAAGGCGGGUCUCUGGGCAGUAACUGACGCUGAGGAGCAAAAAGCGUGGGGAGCGAACAGG
rnacentral:rRNA from 1 species